rnacentral:rRNA from 1 species
UGGCGCAUACAAAGAGAAGCGACCUCGCGAGAGCAAGCGGACCUCAUAAAGUGCGUCGUAGUCCGGAUUGGAGUCUGCAACUCGACUCCAUGAAGUCGGAAUCGCUAGUAAUCGUGGAUCAGAAUGCCACGGUGAAUACGUUCCCGGGCCUUGUACACACCGCCCGUCACACCAUGGGAGUGGGUUGCAAAAGAAGUAGGUAGCUUAACCUUCGGGAGGGCGCUUACCACUUUGUGAUUCAUGACUGGGGUGAAGUCGUAACAAGGUAACCGUAGGGGAACCUGCGGUUGGAUCACCUCC